rnacentral:rRNA from 1 species
UGGGGAAUCUUGCACAAUGGGGGCAACCCUGAUGCAGCGACGCCGCGUGAGCGAUGAAGCCCUUCGGGGUGUAAAGCUCUUUCGGCAGGGAAGAUUAUGACGGUACCUGCAGAAGCAGCUGCGGCUAACUACGUGCCAGCAGCCGCGGUAAUACGUAGGCAGCAAGCGUUGUUCGGAGUUACUGGGCGUAAAGGGUGUGUAGGCGGUUCUCUAAGUUUGGUGUGAAAUCUCCCGGCUCAACUGGGAGGGUGCGCCGAAAACUGGGGGGCUAGAGUACGGGAUGGGAGAGUGGAAUUCCUGGUGUAGCGGUGAAAUGCGUAGAUAUCAGGAGGAACACCUGUGGUGUAGACGGCUCUCUGGACCGUAACUGACGCUGAGACACGAAAGCGUGGGUAGCAAACAGGAUUAGAUACCCCCGUAGUCC